GAUGAGCGCUGGCGGCGUGCUUAACACAUGCAAGUUGAACGAAGCAUUUAGAACGGAUUACUUCGGUUUGAAGUUCUUUAUGACUGAGUGGCGGACGGGUGAGUAACGCGUGGGUAACCUGCCUUGUACUGGGGGAUAGCAGCUGGAAACGGCUGGUAAUACCGCAUAAGCGCACAAUGUUGCAUGACAUGGUGUGAAAAAAUCCGGUGGUAUAAGAUGGACCCGCGUCUGACUAGCUAGUUGGUGAGAUAACAGCCCACCAAGGCGACGAUAAGUAGCCGACCUGAGAGGGUGACGUGCCAAAUUGGGACUGAGACACAUCCCAGUCUCCGACGGGGGGAAGCAGUGGGGAAAAUUGCACAAUGGAGGAAACUCUGAUGCAGCGACGCCGCGUGAGUGAAGAAGUAAUUCGUUAUGUAAAACUCUAUCAGCAGGGAAGAUAGUGACGGUACCUGACUAAGAAGCUCCGGCUAAAUACGUGCCAGCCGCCGCGGUAAUAC
rnacentral:rRNA from 1 species